rnacentral:rRNA from 1 species
GGAGCGUUCUGUAAGCCUGCGAAGGUGUGCUGUGAGGCAUGCUGGAGGUAUCAGAAGUGCGAAUGCUGACAUAAGUAACGAUAAAGCGGGUGAAAAGCCCGCUCGCCGGAAGACCAAGGGUUCCUGUCCAACGUUAAUCGGGGCAGGGUGAGUCGACCCCUAAGGCGAGGCCGAAAGGCGUAGUCGAUGGGAAACAGGUUAAU